rnacentral:rRNA from 1 species
GGAAGUAAAAGUCGUAACAAGGUCUCCGUUGGUGAACCAGCGGAGGGAUCAUUAUAGAGUUUUCUAAACUCCCAACCCAUGUGAACUUACCUUUUGUUGCCUCGGCAGAAGUUAUAGGUCUUCUUAUAGCUGCUGCCGGUGGACCAUUAAACUCUUGUUAUUUUAUGUAAUCUGAGCGUCUUAUUUUAAUAAGUCAAAACUUUCAACAACGGAUCUCUUGGUUCUGGCAUCGAUGAAGAACGCAGCGAAAUGCGAUAAGUAACGUGAAUUGCAGAAUUCAGUGAAUCAUCGAAUCUUUGAACGCACAUUGCGCCCAUUAGUAUUCUAGUGGGCAUGCCUGUUCGAGCGUCAUUUCAACCCUUAAGCCUAGCUUAGUGUUGGGAAUCUACUUCUCUUAGGAGUUGUAGUUCCUGAAAUACAACGGCGGAUUUGUAGUAUCCUCUGAGCGUAGUAAUUUUUUUCUCGCUUUUGUUAGGUGCUAUAACUCCCAGCCGCUAAACCCCCAAUUUUUUGUGGUUGACCUCGGAUCAGGUAGGAAUACCCGCUGAACUUAAGCAUAUCAAUAAGCGGAGGA